CGGCCUCUGUCCCCCUGGCGAUCCCCCCUGCAACUCCUCCACCACGGGCCAGAGACCCCCCUCUCCGGGCGGCAGACACGGGUGGCUUGUGCCGGCUGGUUGGAAGCAGAGAUAACACCACUUGGAGUUCGAUUCUCUCCCAUGGUCAGCCAUGUUGUUUUUGCAGUAUUGACCUUUGCGCCAGCUUAUGGGAUGGACCCUGACUGGCUAAAGCCAAUAAUCCUAUCCUAUUCUAUGCCAUCUCAUCCUACUGGCUACCAUGAUUUGGUUCAUGAUGGCAGAAACCCAGUCAGAACAAACGAAACCUGUGUAGAAGUUUUCCAGGGCUUCUGGGAAAAACUAAGGGUCUCUCUCCCCCUUGAGAGCCACUCCUUCUGUGGUCCGCAUAGUGUGAAGAUAUAAAGAUGUGAACAGCCUCUUUACUACUAACAUGGAAGACCUUGGAACUGCCAACAGGAACCUGUGUGAGGCCUGAAGAAGUAGGUGAUGGCUUCUACCACGGAAGGUAGAAGGCAGAAGGAAAUAUGGAGAGGAACAGAGCUGGUCCUUGAUGAUACUACAUCAAAGUGUUCCUGAAGCUAGCAUCAUCCCUGGCCUUUUCAGUGAUGCAAGUUUACACAUCACAUUAUUCUUCCAACCAUUUUGAGCAGGAUUUCCUGCCAUUUUCAUUAGAGGGGCUUCUAACUCAAAUUUUGGUUUUGUCAAAUCGAUGACAGGUUACUACCCUCUCAGUGAGUUAUCCUGGGAAAAUGGGGUCAUACCAUGGGUUUCUGCUUCACUAUUUUGUUUAGUGUGUUGUUUUCAAAUGGAUACCUUACCUUCUUAAAUGAUUUUCCUACUCGUCUCCCUGUCCACACUUUACAACGCACAUCAAGUACCGCCUUCCCUAUGUAUUAAUUACUGAGCAAGAAUUAUAAACACUGGAGUUUUAUCUCUGUUGAGGCUGCCCCAGGUAGUGGCUAAGAGCACAUGUGUUACAUUACACAGACAUGAUUUUGAACCCUGGCUUUAUAAUUUACUAGCUAUCUGACUUUGGACAAUUUACCUAAACUCUCUAAGACAUUUCUCCCAACCUGCAAAAAUAUUGUUAAUAAUAACAUCUUGUCUUAGGCAACUUUGUGAAGAUAGAAUGAGAUAACUCAUGUAUAACGUUUAUCAUGGUGCUUGGCACAGAGUAAAUGCUCAAUAAAUGUUGCUGCUGUUAUUAGUGUUAUUAUACUUAUCAAGGAAUCUACCAUAUUGAAAGAGCCCAAUAAAUCUAAUCUUCUGUUAUUAGAAGAUUACUAAUACUGGCUAUAUGAGUUGUUUAAAAAUUGAUGAAUGGAUAGUUGAAUGAAUACAUGGUAAAUGAAAACACGAAUGAAUGAAUGAAUGAAUGGGAGCUGGAAACUGAGAGGCAAGGCCACAAAGUUACGGGGCUGGGCCAGGGGAUAAGCAGGAGGAGGACAGAAUAGAAAGCCACCCUGUGCUUUAUGAGAAUGCCCUUCCCAUGAUCUGUGUCCCCGUCAGGUGGAAUGUUCUGCAGGGCUGCUCCCUUCAUACUCUCAUUACUGCAGGUCAUUUGUCAGGAGCUUUUUGAUGGGCAGCUUUACAGAUAGCCAUAAAGCAGCACUUAUGGCCAAAGUCAUCACACUUUGUUGAGCUCUGUGCUUAGGGUGUCCACAUAAUUUUCUCUUUUUUCUCUGGGUUCCUAGUCACUCAGUGCACAGAUGGAAUUUAGUAUGGAUGGCUUAAUCCAUUCCAGUGGCCCCCCCAUAGCCUCUGGGAUAAAAUUCAAAGGACCUCAAAACCCAAAAGGCCAGUAAGAAUAAGUAGGAUAAUGUGGGCAUUUAAUGAGUACUUACUUUAGUACAGGCCUAAGACUUGCCAGGUCAAGAUAGCUGGCCACUUUGAAUGGACCACCCCAUCCAACCUUCACAAUUGUAUAUGGCAGCUACACUCAUAAGCUCAACAUUGCUGAUGAAGAAACAGAGACACGUCAAGGUUACAUUGCUUAUUCAACUUCGCAGGGCUAUGGUGUGGCACCGAUAGGAUUUUAUCCUAGCCAGCCAACAGCUGGAACCUCUGCCCAAAGGGCUUUCGUCUUCACUAUCAUCUACCUUGUGUUGACUCCUACAGCACUUGAAGCUACAAAUGCAACUGUCCCUCUCUUGCCUUUAGAGUCCUCCGAAACAAACCCUACUGAAGUGAUUUCUUAAAAUUCUUCAAAUGUGGUGACAUUAGAGUUGCUUUGGGAUGAUUUAAAGAGCUCAUAUUUAUAGAUUUCUUCAAAGAAGAGGUUUUUAAAAUUUCUCUUCUUAGUCCAUUAUCCUCAGUAGCCAAUAGAUGAGCACUUGGACUAUAGUCUAGACCUGGAAUUCAAGGGACUGCAUGGCAUUCUCGGUGUUAGGCAUCUGAACUACCCACCUGGUUCUCACAGCCAAGCUUGGCCAGGCUGGCUUUAGCUGGAGUUCUCUUUUAGACAUCCUUUUGUCUCAAGUUGGCCAAGAAGGUACGUAAUUUGCAGGGCCCCACCCCCCUACUCCACAGAGCAGAUUUAGGUGAGGGAUUUGGAGCUGAGAAACAAUAAGUUAAUAACUAGCACACUGGCAGCUCACCGAAGUUCUCUUAACUCUGGGAAGGGGCUGCAGUCCACGGGGAUGGGCCCUUGGCAGUCACUUUUGUGCUGUGUGUAUUUGUCCUCUAUUGGACAGAGCAAGAACACAUGACUCGAGCCAGCCAAUCACAUUCUGUCUUCCGGGAACGGUCACAGAACCCGAGUCAUGUAACAGCUGGGGAGACCAUCUUCCACCAAACAGAUGUAGCUCAGAGGAAACUUGUCUUUCAUGAUUAUAGUCUAGAGCAAAGCAAGUGAAGUAGAAAGGAAAGGAAAGGAGAGUGAGCGAGAGAGAAAAUAUACCUCGAUGGCUUUCUAUUUACUGAACCCGUCUCUUGGGAGGGUUGGCUCACACCCUAGUCUCUCUGAGAUACCCCUACCCUUGUACAAAAGAUAAAUGGGCAUUUUGCAUCAGCUAAAUAAAUUGAUUUCUGUUCUUACCCCCUAAAAUCACAGAUUAAUAAGACAACCAAAUCUUUACUGCUCAGAGCAGAUUCAAACCCUUUUUGAAACAAUGUGUCUUAGAAAUAACAUAAAUAACUCCAUGGUCAGAAAGAUGGUUGGCCAACUUCCUUGACAAAAGGCAAGAAAUAAGAAGAGUUAUUUAUUCAACGUUUUUAGUGACAAAUGACAAUAAAAAUUUCGAAAUUGUC